GUAGGGAAUAUUGCGCAAUGGGGGAAACCCUGACGCAGCGACGCCGCGUGAGUGAUGAAGGCCUUCGGGUCGUAAAGCUCUGUUGCAAGGGAAUAAAAAAAUGAAGGUACCCUGUGAGGAAGGAUCGGCUAACUUCGUGCCAGCAGCCGCGGUAAGACGAGGGAUCCUAGCGUUGCUCGGAAUCAUUGGGCGUAAAGAGGGCGUAGGUGGCUUGGUAAGUCAGGUGUGAAAGCCCAGGGCUCAACCCUGGAAGUGCAUUUGAUACUGCUGAGCUUGAGUGUCGGAGAGGUUACCGGAAUACCUGGUGUAGUGGUGAAAUACGUAGAUAUCAGGUGGAACACCGGAGGCGAAGGCGGGUAACUGGACGAACACUGACACUGAGGCCCGAAAGCGUGGGGAUCAAACAGGAUUAGAUACCCUGGUAGUCC
rnacentral:rRNA from 1 species